rnacentral:lncRNA from 1 species
UGAGCAGGCAUAUAUGUGUGCAUGUAUGUGAGGAUGAACAAAUCUACAUAUAUGUAUACAUAUAUAUCUGAGUUUGCAUGUGUAUGUGUGUGUGAAUGUGUGUAUAGGUUUGCCUAUGGUGCAAGUGUGGUGUGCGUUAUGAGUUUGCAUAUGAGCUUGUGAGUGUGUAAGUGUACAUGAGUGUGUGCAAGGGCACAGGUGUAGGCAUGCGGGUGUGGGUGUUCAUGUGUGCCUAAAUGUUCAUGUACAUAGCUGUGCCUAUAGUAUAAGUAGGUGUGUGUGUAAAUAUCAAGCUUUGGAACCAGGCUUUCAGGUUUCAUAUUUGGGCAGAUUCAUUCCAAGAAACAUUCCUUGAGUAUCUAUGAUGACCAAUGACUGUGGCAACCAUAAGGAGGAGUAUUACGUUUCUCUGGAUGCAAAAGGCUUAUAAGCAAGUAGAAGAGACAGACACAUAAGCAACCCUAUGCAACACAAGACAAAAGAUGUUAAAUGCCAUUGUUAUAACACAAGAAGAAGAAUUGUUCUGACUUGCUGAAUGUUUGAGGUCAGCUUGAGAGGAGAUAGGAGGUGACAGGAGGGCCGUUCAGGCACAGGAAUAACAUGAGCUCAGGACCCAGGUAGAAAUAUAGGGCAUGUUUAAGCAAUGAGUCAUUCGUUGUGCCAGGCACAUAAAUUAACAUGAGAGUUACAACAUCAGAUCAGAUCAAGGAUAACAUCUGGCCAUUCCUCACUAUAUUUCACAGGGCACACGCUGAUGAAGGAGGGGGAUGGCCAAUUAGUGGGGAACUCGGACUCUUGUACUAAGAAGUGUGAACUUCCUUUCUUAAGGGCUAAGGAGGAAGUGGAUGAUGGGCUAAAGAAGUUGAACUGCAAUUUGAACUACUGUGUCUCCCCUGAUAAUCACUCAGUGCUAUGCUUCGUGCACCCAACCCCCACACAGAUGUGGACUUUUGGGAAAUGCGUCCUCUUGCUGACUAGGCAUCAAAGAAUGAGUAUUUCCUUUGUCACCAUUGCCUCAUCUUCCAGAGAAAACUCUUCACUUCUG